rnacentral:rRNA from 1 species
CAGCCGCCGCGGUAAUACAGAGGGUGCGAGCGUUAAUCGGAUUUACUGGGCGUAAAGCGUGCGUAGGCGGCUUUUUAAGUCGGAUGUGAAAUCCCUGAGCUUAACUUAGGAAUUGCAUUCGAUACUGGGAAGCUAGAGUAUGGGAGAGGAUGGUAGAAUUCCAGGUGUAGCGGUGAAAUGCGUAGAGAUCUGGAGGAAUACCGAUGGCGAAGGCAGCCAUCUGGCCUAAUACUGACGCUGAGGUACGAAAGCGUGGGGAGCAAACAGGAUUAGAUACCCCAGUAGUCCCUGUCUCUUAUAC